UCGGUAAGGAACCUUACGUGUCCCCUUCUAAUUUGACGUCCUCUGUAUCUCUCUCCUCCGUCGGAGUUUGAUGCGAAAUCCCGUUUUCUCUCUUCUUCCACCGAUCUCUCCAUCUUCUCUGGCGAUUCUCUGUGAUUCUUCGAUCUCUCCAUCACCUCUGUCGAUUCUUCUAUCUCUCCAUCUUCUCUGUUGAUUCUCUGUCAAUUCUUAUGUCGAUCUCCAUCUCUGAUGAAUCUCAACGACGACAAGGUUGAGAGGUUCGAUAUUCCUCCAUGACAGAAUUUGGCUGUUAAGAUGCUUGAUACAACUGGUCAUCAAGGAGACAAAGAGUUUCUCGUGGAAGUCCUAAUGCUCUCCCUCUUGCGCCACGAACACCUCGUGACUUUGUUUGGUUACUGCGCUGAAGGAGACCAAAGACUCCUCGUCUAUGAGUACAUGCCUUUUGAAUCCGUAGAAGAUCAUAUCCACGGUUACGGAUCUGAAGAAGAGGUUUUAGAUUUGAGCACAAGGAUGUAGAUAGCUUUAGGAUCAGCCAAAGGGCUAGCGUAUCUUCACAACGUAGCACAACCUCCUGUGAUCUACAGAGACUUGAAAACCGCAAACAUAUUGCUAGACCAUGGCUACAAACCAAAGGGCUUGCUAAGUUUGGUCUGAGCGGUGACAUGUCUCAUGUCUCUACUAGAGUCAUGGGAAGUCAUGACUCGCAUGGUUACCACAAUGGCGGAUGAAGAAGACGAGUCUCAGAGCAUUGAGCCCACGGGUAACAAUGAUUUUGUAGUAAGUAGUAUCUAGAGAGAACAACAAUAUGAUAUCUAAUAAGUGAAAGUAAUCAUGAAAACCUUAUGCUA